CAUUAGAAGUAGCGAGGUACAUCUCAACCCAAUCACAGAGCAACAAAUACUGAAUAUAAACUUGAUUUCACUCUAACAAGAAGAUGUACUUUAGUCUCCAGAAAUUAAGAAAGAGAACACUCCUCACCUAGCAAGGUACAUCUCAACCCAAUCACAGAGUAACAAAUACUGAAUAUAAACUUGAUUUCACUCCAACAAGAAGAUGCUUGGCAUUAGUCUCCAGAAAUUGAGAAAGAGAACACUCCUCACCACUUUGUAAGAGCAAAGGCCACAGAGAGAGAGAUAGUAAAAGCAAAACCCAUACAACACGGGAUUAACGAAC